rnacentral:rRNA from 1 species
GACGGAGGAUGCAAGUGUUAUCCGGAAUCACUGGGCGUAAAGCGUCUGUAGGUGGUUUAAUAAGUCAACUGUUAAAUCUUGAGGCUCAACCUCAAAAUCGCGGUCGAAACUAUUAGGCUAGAGUAUAGUAGGGGUAAAGGGAAUUUCCAGUGGAGCGGUGAAAUGCGUAGAGAUUGGAAAGAACACCGAUGGCGAAGGCACUUUACUGGGCUAUUACUAACACUCAGAGACGAAAGCUAGGGUAGCAAAUGGG